GUGCGACGAGAGUCGCUAUAGGUAGGAGUACCUAGCGGGCUACAUCCUAGGCGGUCACCACAUGGUUGGUGGCCGCUUUUCCCGCAAAACAGCUCUAAAAACCCGAGAUCCGGGCGACAAAAGCCCGGAUUCAGGGUGCCGUCAAGGCGCUAAGGAUUCGGCAAUUCGUUGCCUAAAUAUCCGGUCUUCCACCGUGGAGACCAUAAAACGAUAUUCGUACUGAGCCUGUAUUUCGCGUUUUGAGUACAGGGGAGGUAUGGGAGAUCGUGUCCAAAAGCUGGCUGCUCCUAUCCGUAGGGCGCAAGCCAUAGCUGUCAUUGUCUCACCCGAAAACCGCAAGGUGGCCGGGGCGCGAGACCUUCUGUUCAGCCAGAAAGUAGCCUAGGGACAGUGCGUCGCCGGUAACGGCGGGGUGCGAAGCGUCCUGACAAUGUAGCCCCAUGAUGUCUGUGGUGCGUGGUCGCCGCGAGGCGCCAUGCAGACCCUGCGAGCAACACGCGGGCGAGGCGCUAGGCUGGGUGGUACGGCCAACGUAAGUGAACUGCUGAUAAACACCGUCAACCGCAUGGAGCCAAAGUUGCUGACAGGCUUCGACCAAAAGGGUGCGUGACUGGUUGUCCCUCUUACAUCUGGGGACACGCUGACAUCGAGUCACCGGUGAACAGGCAGGGCCUAACCCACUCUUGUGAUGGUUAUGGAACUCGGUAAGCCCGUAUUUUCGCCACUGGCUGGUAGAGCGGGGGCAGGUCGACCGCAAGGAAGGCUGUUGAAAGUGCGGGUAAAGGAGGUCGGAAAAAGCGAAUGCCGCCCUGUAACGGGGCUGGAUAGGGGCCGUUGCCCCGACCCGAAAGGGUGCCCACUUCCGACUGGUCUUUGAUCGCGAAAAGGCUUGUAAAGCCAUAAAAGCUGGCGUCGUUCGGUCCGACCGGCGGCGUCUGAACAGAAAUCCCUCGCGGGGUAGUGAACUCACUCCCCGCAAGGGCGACGUGCGUCCGCUGCUCCUCCGGGGAAAUCUUCUUUGGAGGAAAGCAAGAUGAGUGCGUCUGAAAAGGAAGUACCUGCGUCCUCCCUCCCGGCCAGCAGUUGGCACACGAUCGACUGGGCAACCAGUCAUCGGCGGGUGAGAGGGCUACAGGUACGGAUCGCGAAGGCAGCCAAGAAUCGGCAAUGGCGGCAGGUGAAAACCUUGCAGCGCAUGCUGGUCCGCUCGUUCGCCGCCAAGGCAUUGGCGGUCAAACGGGUCACUGAAAACCGGGGUCGCAGGACUCCGGGCGUCGACGGGGAAACCUGGAGCACGCCUGAAAGCAAAUGGAAGGCUAUUUUUCGGUUACAGCGCACGGGCUACCGGCCCAGGCCGUUGCGGCGGGUGUACAUCCCCAAAGCCAACGGCCAGCGCCGACCGCUGGGAAUACCGACGAUGCUGGAUCGGGCCAUGCAGGCAUUAUACCUGCUGGCGCUCGAACCGGUGUCCGAGACCACGGCGGACCGGAAUUCCUAUGGCUUUCGUCCUCACCGUUCCACGGCGGAUGCAAUCGAGCAAUUGUUCGUCAACCUCGGUCGCAAGCACUCCGCGCAGUGGGUCAUGGAAGGGGAUAUCAAAGGCUGUUUCGACAACAUCAGUCACGAUUGGCUGAUCGCCAACGUCCCGCUGGACAAGGCGGUCUUACGGAAAUGGCUGAAGGCGGGAUACCUGGAAUCCGGCCAAUUGAACCCCACCGGGGCGGGAACUCCGCAAGGAGGCAUCAUCUCGCCGGUGCUGGCCAACCUGGCGCUUGAUGGUCUGGAAAAGGCGCUCGAAUCGCGAUUCGGGCAACGCAACACCAAAGCCAGCUACAAGACCAAGGUCAACUAUGUGCGGUAUGCGGACGAUUUCGUCAUCACCGGCAUCUCGAAAGAGCUGCUGGUGAAUGAGGUGAAGCCCGUCGUCGCCGCCUUCAUGGCGGAGCGCGGGUUGAGCCUCGCGGCGGAAAAGUCGCUGUUCACGCAUGUAUCGGAGGGGUUCGAUUUCCUCGGCCAGAAUGUUCGCAAGUACGGUGACAAGCUGCUGAUCAAGCCAGCUCACCGGAACGUCAAGGCAUUUCUGGCCAAGGUCAAGGCGUUGAUCGAGGGGAACAAGACGGCUCCGGCCAGUCUGUUGAUAGACAAGCUCAACCCGGUCAUCCGGGGCUGGGCCAACUAUCAUCGGCCGAUAGUCGCCAAGCAGACCUUCAAUUACGUGGAUUACCGGAUAUGGAAGUUGUUGUGGCGGUGGUGCAGGCGGCGACAUGGAAAUCGCUGCAAACGUUGGAUCAAGGAGAAAUACUUCAAGCGCAUCGGUACGCGCAGUUGGGUGUUCUCCGGGCGGUAUCCCAGCGGCAAACUGGCCACAUUGCUGUACGCCGACGACACAACCAUACAGCGGCACAAGAAAAUCAGAGCGGAGGCCAAUCCGUACGACCCGGAAGACGAGAUGUACUUCGAGGAAAGGCUGGAAUACGCCUGGCGGAGAUCGGACGAAGGGAAACGGAAAACGCUGAGGCUGUGGCUAGGCCAGAGCAAGCGCUGCCCGAUGUGCAAGCAGUUGAUCACGUUCGAGACGGGAUGGAACAUCCACCACAUCAUCAAGCGGCACAUGGGCGGAGGCGACGAGCUGGACAAUCUGGUGCUGUUGCAUCCCAACUGUCAUCGACAGCUACACAGUGCGGCACCGGCUCUUUCGAUUGAGAAAGGGCUUACAAAGGCUUGAGCCGUAUGCGGGGAAACUCGCACGUACGGUUCUUAGGGGAGGGGUGGCCAGCAAUGGUCGCUCCUUACCCGAC
rnacentral:autocatalytically_spliced_intron from 1 species